UCUACUCUUUAAAGAUCUAGCCCUGGGCUGGAGAGAUGGCUCGUGGUUAAGAGCACUGGCUGCUCUUCCAGAGGACCUGAGUUCAAUUCCCAGCAAUGACAGGGUGAC
rnacentral:miRNA from 14 species